CUGUGACACCAUGACAAGAUAUAUCCAUCGGUUCUACAACCUGCCUACUUGAGACCCUGAAGCUGACACUGACCAAAAGUGUAUACAGCCUUACCCUCUGGGAUGGUUACCUUCUGGGAUGGAAAUGGAAGAAUCAGGAUCAGCAAUUCCAGAAUCCCAAGAUGAUUCAGAGGAAGGUGAAAGACAAUGGCCGAGCUAGCUAGCUAGCUUUAAUUGUCGACUUGAGACAUCCUAGAAUAACCGGGGAAGAAUCCUAACCAGGAAUUGUGUAGAGCAAGUUUGUUUGUGGUCAUGUCUGUGGGGCAUUUUCUUUAUUCGGGGAAUUGAAGUAAGAGGGCUCACUGUGGAUGAAGCCAUUUCAUUGGCUGGACCAUGGAGUGAAGGAAAAGAAGAGAGAAGUUGGGUACUAGCAGGCCUUCUCUCAUUCUCUCUGCUCUUGACUUUGAAGAAACAGACAUGAAACUAGGAUGCUGCCCUUCGCCAAAGGAAUGGAGACAACAGUCAGAGAAUGAAAGCCAAGAUUUCCUCCUGCAUCCACCCAGCCAUGAGUCCAAGUGGCAGGUCAAUGGACUUCAGCCAAAGCAGCUUCUAUGCUUGUUGACAGCUGUCAGCAUCGGAUUGCCAUUGAGCCAACCCUUGGCCUCCACAGGACCUUCAGCUCUAGUUCCUCAGUGACCUAAUUAGGAAGGGUGUGUUCUCAAGGAGUGUGGAAGUUAAGAAGGUUUGUAGGGCUCUUUCCAGGGCAAGUGCUGGGGUAGAGGGAGGAGGCACACAUACUUGGCCUCUCCACAUCUACUCAUUAAUUAUAGCUCUUGACCUGACAAUUAGUAUAAUCAUUUU